rnacentral:lncRNA from 1 species
AACAAAGGAAUGGUUAGAAAUACUUUUAAGAAAAUGAACGACGCCGAGUAACAAAUCCUUUUACAAAUCAGAUGGAUAUUCGUUUUUACUUUCAAGAGAACUGGAAGAAUUGUCAGUUGGUAGAUUUACAAAUAUUUUUCGAUGAUAGGUCACUGUGUAAUUUUGGGAUUUAGUUCAAGGUUCAAAGGCUGACUGAUACUUGACGCAACAAAAAUUUCCCUCAUUCCCAUCCUAGUUAUUUAUGUGAACAAAAUGUCUUGACACUUGUAACUAUAAAAACGGAAAAUUAAUGCAUUUACAGUAAAAUUUCGGAGUUCCCCUUGUGGUUCAGCAGUAACAAAUCUGACUAGGAUCCGUGAGGAUGCGGGUUCAAUCCCUGGCCUCACUCAGUGGGUUAAGGAUCCAGUGUUGCUGGGAGGUGGGGUGUAGGCUCAGAUCUGGCGUUGCUGUGGCUGUGGUGUAGGCUGGCCACUAUAGCUCCGAUUUGACCCCUAGCCUGGGAACUUCCAUAUGCCAUGGGUGCGGCCCUAAAAAGACAAUAAAAUAAAUAAUAGAAACUUACUUUUUAUGAGAAGAAAAUUUUGUGUAACUUUAGAGUUUACUGUCAUAGGAAAAUUUUAAAAAUUAUAUUUGUGUAUAAUAACAUUGCAGAGAAGUAUCAUAGGUUUAUCAGUAAAACACUUUAAAGCAUAAAUACUAGAGAAAAUUCUAAAGAGGAAUUAAAAAUGGUAAGUGUACAAGGAGAAAAACGAAUAGUAUAAAAUUUCAUGUUUUUGGGCCUGACAUGGCUCAGUAGUUGAUGAACUUGACUAGUAUCCAUGAGGAUAGGGGUUCGAUCCCUGGCCUCGAUCAGUGGGUUAAGGAUCUGGCAUUGCCGUGAGCUGUGGUGUAGGUUGCAGAUGAGGCUCGGAUCCCGCGUUGCUGUGGCUGUGGUGUAGGCCGGCGGCUGUAGCUCCGAUUCAACCCCUAGCCUGGGAACCACCAUAUGCCGAAGGUGUGGCCCUAAAAAG